GACGGCUUCGGGAGAGCGACCCGAUGGCUGGCAGAACCCCUGUUUCCUGCGUGAGCGAUCGCGGGAGACAGUGUUCUGUGACAACAAAUCAGUAGAAAUUUGGUGCGUUUGCCAAGGAUUUCUGUAUCGCGGCAAACGUGCAUAUACAGAGAUCGCAUCGCUCGGGAAGAACGCAGUUCUUUUCGCGGUCCUGUAGCCCCC
rnacentral:sRNA from 1 species